ensembl:miRNA
UACUAAGUGUCCCCCACUGGAGCUCUAGACUCUGCCUUGUGCCACCAAGUUCUCUACUCACUUGGGCCCGAAGCACAUGCAGAGACUGGCAAGGUACCCGUUGGAGAAG